rnacentral:snRNA from 1 species
AGCCAUGUGGUAAGCACAAAGCGAACUAUUCUUUCGCCUUUUACUAAAGAAUACCGUGUGCUUGCCACCUAACUGUGGCAUAAGCUUAUUUUUGGAGGGCUAAUCUCACCAGAGUAC